rnacentral:rRNA from 1 species
AUUGAACGCUGUCGGCAUGCCUUACACAUGCAAGUCGAACGGCAGCACGGGGCAACCUGGUGGCGAGUGGCGAACGGGUGAGUAAUGCAUCGGAACGUACCUUUCAGUGGGGGAUAACGUAGCGAAAGUUACGCUAAUACCGCAUAUUCUGUGAGCAGGAAGGCAGGGGGUCGCAAGACCUUGCGCUGAUUGAGCGGCCGAUUUCAGAUUAGCUAGUUGGUGAGGUAAAGGCUCACACAGGCGACGAUCUGUAGCGGGUCUGAGAGGAGGAUCCGCCACAAUGGAACUGUAGACCGGUCAAGACUCCUACGGGAGGCAGCAGUGGGGAAUUUUGGACAAUGGGGGCAACCCUGAUCCAGCCACGCCGCGUGAGUGAAGAAGGCCUUCGGGUUGUAAAGCUCUUUCGGCCGAGAAGAAAUCGCACGGGCUAAUACCCUGUGUGGAUGACGGUACCGGAAUAAGAAGCACCGGCUAACUACGUGCCAGCCGCCGCCGUAAUAC